rnacentral:lncRNA from 1 species
GCCGGGUGACCACCUGGAUGAAGUCAGAGCAGUGGCAUCUGCACCAGCCAGAUGGGAGUCUGCUGCCAUCAGGAAAUGGACAGCCAACCGCCACUCGAGUGAACCAAAACCGCCGACUUCCAGAUAAGAAAGGGAAAGGACAGGUCAGGAGAGAGCGAUAAAUGUGUCUUCUUUCAAUUUUCAGGUUACCGAGUCCCUGCUGAAGCCGAAGGGGAGGGAUGCUGUUCGCCCCAGCCUGAGAAGCAGCAGGGAGGAGGUCAUGCAUCAUCAAGAGGAUCAGCGGGUGAAGGUGUAAAGCUAGAGCAGCUGCAGCCCUCGCAUGGGAGCUAUCAGUUUGUGCAGAGAUGGGAGCACGAGGCUGGGCGAAGGUGCAAGAGAACACCAGUGAGGGGCAAAGAAUGCAGG